rnacentral:rRNA from 1 species
AACGAACGCUGACGGCAGGCUUAACACAUGCAAGUCGAACGCCCCGCAAGGGGAGAGGUAGACGGGUGAGUAAAGAGUGGGAAUCUACCCAGAACUUCGGAACAACUGAGGGAAACUUAAGCUAAUAACGGAUACGCCCUACGGGGGAAAGAUUUAUCGGUUCUGGAUGAGCCCGCGUAUGAUUAUCUUGUUGGUGAGGUAAUGGCUCACCAAAGCGACGAUCUUUAGCUGGUCUGAGGGGAUGAUCAGCCACAGUGGGACUGAGACACGGCCCAGACGCCUACGGGAGGCAGCAGUGGGCAAUGUUGACGAAUGGGCGAAAGGCUGAUCCAGCCAUGCCUCGUAGGUGAUGUAGGCCUUAGGGUUGUAAAACUCUUUCAGGGGGGAAGAUAAUGACGGUACCCACAGAAGAAGCCCCGGCUAACUUCGUGCCAGCAGCCGCAGUAAGAC